AGUGAACGCUGGCGGUAGGCCUAACACAUGCAAGUCGAACGGCAGCACAGUAAGAGCUUGCUCUUACGGGUGGCGAGUGGCGGACGGGUGAGGAAUACAUCGGAAUCUACUUUUUCGUGGGGGAUAACGUAGGGAAACUUACGCUAAUACCGCAUACGACCUACGGGUGAAAGCAGGGGAUCUUCGGACCUUGCGCGAUUGAAUGAGCCGAUGUCGGAUUAGCUAGUUGGCGGGGUAAAGGCCCACCAAGGCGACGAUCCGUAGCUGGUCUGAGAGGAUGAUCAGCCACACUGGAACUGAGACACGGUCCAGACUCCUACGGGAGGGAGCAGUGGGGAAUAGUGGACAAUGGGCGCAAGCCUGAUCCAGCCAUACCGCGUGGGUGAAGAAGGCCUUCGGGUUGUAAAGCCCUUUUGUUGGGAAAGAAAAGCAGCAGGUUAAUACCCCGCUGUUCUGACGGUACCCAAAGAAUAAGCACCGGCUAACUUCGUG
rnacentral:rRNA from 1 species